rnacentral:rRNA from 1 species
AGAGUUUGAUCAUGGCUCAGGAUGAACGCUAGCUACAGGCUUAACACAUGCAAGUCGAGGGGAAACGACAUCGAAAGCUUGCUUUUGAUGGGCGUCGACCGGCGCACGGGUGGGUAACGCGUAUCCAACCUGCCCACCACUUGGGGAUAACCUUGCGAAAGUAAGACUAAUACCCAAUGAUAUCUCUAGAAGACAUCUGAAAGAGAUUAAAGAUUUAUCGGUGAUGGAUGGGGAUGCGUCUGAUUAGCUUGUUGGCGGGGUAACGGCCACCAAGGCUACGAUCAGUAGGGGUUCUGAGAGGAAGGUCCCCCANAUUGGAACUGAGACACGGUCCAAACUCCUACGGGAGGCA